CGGGACACGUGGUAUCCUGUCUGAAUAUGGGGGGACCAUCCUCCAAGGCUAAAUACUCCUGACUGACCGAUAGUGAACCAGUACCGUGAGGGAAAGGCGAAAAGAACCCCGGCGAGGGGAGUGAAAAAGAACCUGAAACCGUGUACGUACAAGCAGUGGGAGCCUCUUUAUGGGGUGACUGCGUACCUUUUGUAUAAUGGGUCAGCGACUUAUAUUCUGUAGCAAGGUUAACCGAAUAGGGGAGCCGAAGGGAAACCGAGUCUUAACUGGGCGUUAAGUUGCAGGGUAUAGACCCGAAACCCGGUGAUCUAGCCAUGGGCAGGUUGAAGGUUGGGUAACACUAACUGGAGGACCGAACCGACUAAUGUUGAAAAAUUAGCGGAUGACUUGUGGCUGGGGGUGAAAGGCCAAUCAAACCGGGAGAUAGCUGGUUCUCCCCGAAAGCUAUUUAGGUAGCGCCUCGUGAAUUCAUCUCCGGGGGUAGAGCACUGUUUCGGCAAGGGGGUCAUCCCGACUUACCAACCCGAUGCAAACUGCGAAUACCGGAGAAUGUUAUCACGGGAGACACACGGCGGGUGCUAACGUCCGUCGUGAAGAGGGAAACAACCCAGACCGCCAGCUAAGGUCCCAAAGUCAUGGUUAAGUGGGAAACGAUGUGGGAAGGCCCAGACAGCCAGGAUGUUGGCUUAGAAGCAGCCAUCAUUUAAAGAAAGCGUAAUAGCUCACUGGUCGAGUCGGCCUGCGCGGAAGAUGUAACGGGGCUAAACCAUGCACCGAAG
rnacentral:rRNA from 1 species